rnacentral:rRNA from 1 species
GACGAACGCUGGCGGCGUGCUUAACACAUGCAAGUCGAACGGAAAGGCCCUGCUUUUGUGGGGUGCUCGAGUGGCGAACGGGUGAGUAACACGUGAGUAACCUGCCCUUGACUUUGGGAUAACUUCAGGAAACUGGGGCUAAUACCGGAUAGGAGCUCCUGCUGCAUGGUGGGGGUUGGAAAGUUUCGGCGGUUGGGGAUGGACUCGCGGCUUAUCAGCUUGUUGGUGGGGUAGUGGCUUACCAAGGCUUUGACGGGUAGCCGGCCUGAGAGGGUGACCGGCCACAUGGGGACUGAGAUACGGCCCAGACGCCUACGGGAGGCAGCAGGGGGGAAUAUUGCACAAUGGGCGGAAGCGUGAUGCAGCAACGCCGCGUGCGGGAUGACGGCCUUCGGGUUGUAAACCGCUUUCGCCUGUGACGAAGCGUGAGUGACGGUAAUGGGUAAAGAAGCACCGGCUAACUACGUG